rnacentral:tRNA from 1 species
GCGAAGUUAGCCCAGACUGGUAAGGUACGAGCUUCCCAAGCUCGGGAUCGCGGGUUCAAAUCCCGCACUUCGCA